AAGAGCUUGCUUUUCUUGAGAGUGGCGCACGGGUGCGUAACACGUAUGUAACCUACCUUAGUCAGGGGGAUAGCCUCUCGAAAGAGAGAUUAAGACCGCAUAACAUCAUGAUAUGGCAUCGUAUUAUGAUCAAAUAUUUAUAGGACUAAGAUGGGCAUGCGCAACAUUAGCUAGUUGGUGUGGUAACGGCAUACCAAGGCUACGAUGUUUAGGGGAUCUGAGAGGAUGACCCCCCACACUGGUACUGAGACACGGACCAGACUCCUACGGGAGGCAGCAGUAAGGAAUAUUGGUCAAUGGACGGAAGUCUGAACCAGCCAUGCCGCGUGCAGGAAGACGGCCCUACGGGUUGUAAACUGCUUUUGCAGGGGAAUAAACCUUCGUAUGUAUACGAAGCUGAAUGUACUCUGAGAAUAAGGAUCGGCUAACUCCGUGCCAGCAGCCGCGGUGAUACGGAGGAUCCGAGCGUUAUCCGGAUUUAUUGGGUUUAAAGGGUGCGUAGGCGGCUUUUUAAGUCAGGGGUGAAAGACGGUAGCUUAACUAUCGCAGUGCCCUUGAUACUGAAGAGCUUGAAUGUAGUUGAGGUAGGCGGAAUGUGACAAGUAGCGGUGAAAUGCAUAGAUAUGUCACAGAACACCAAUUGCGAAGGCAGCUUACUAAGCUAUGAUUGACGCUGAGGCACGAAAGCGUGGGGAUCAAACAGGAUUAGAUACCCUGGUAGUCCACGCCCUAAACGAUGAACACUCGAUGUUGGCGAUAUACAGUCAGCGUCUAAGCGAAAGCGUUAAGUGUUCCA
rnacentral:rRNA from 1 species